UAGAUGCAAAUACAGCAGAUCACUCAAGGGAUGCUGAAACAUUAUUUGGUAUUCAAACAACUCUGGAAAAGUAUGAACAUCCAAUUUUGAAAAUGAACUAACGUAUACUGAUUAUAAAGAAUUUAUGCAAUAUGCAAAUACAGCAGAUCACUCAAGGGAUGCUGAAACAUUAUUUGGUAUUCAAACAAUUCUGGAAAAGUAUGAACAUCCAAUUUUGAAAAUGAACUAACGAAUACUGAUUAUAAUGAAUUUAUGCAAUUUACAUAUUGCAAUACAGCAGACAAUGAAAGCCAUGGUGAGACAUGAAUUCGCGAUUCUAUCAGUUUGGAAAAUAUAAACAUCCUAUGAUGAAAAUGGACUAGAAGAUACUGAUAAUAAUAAUUGUUUUAUUCAACAUGCAAAUACAGCAGAUCACUCAAGGGAUGCUGAAACAUUAUUUGGUAUUCAAACAAUUCUGGAAAAGUAUGAACAUCCAAUUUUGAAAAUGAACUAACGAAUACUGAUUAUAAUGAAUUUAUGCAAUUUACAUAUUGCAAUACAGCAGACAAUGAAAGCCAUGGUGAGACAUGAAUUCGCGAUUCUUUCAGUUUGGAAAAUAUAAACAUCCUAUGAUGAAAAUGGACUAGAAGAUACUGAUAAUAAUAAUUGUUUUAUUCAACAUGCAAAUACAGCAGAUCACUCAAGGGAUGCUGAAACAUUGUUUGGUAUUCAAUCAACUCUGGAAAAGUAUGAACAUCCAAUUUUGAAAAUGAACUAAAAGAUACUGAUAAUAAAGAAUUUAUGCAAUAUGCAAAUACAGCAGAUCACUCAAGGGAUGCUGAAACAUUAUUUGGUAUUCAAACAAUUCUGGAAAAGUAUGAACAUCCAAUUUUGAAAAUGAACUAACGAAUACUGAUUAUAAUGAAUUUAUGCAAUUUACAUAUUGCAUUACAGCAGACAAUGAAAGUCAUGGUGAGACAUGAAUUUGCGAUUCUAUCAGUUUGGAAAAUAUAAACAUCCUAUGAUGAAAAUGGACUAGAAGAUACUGAUAAUAAUAAUUGUUUUAUUCAACAUGGCAAUACAGCAGAUGACUCAAGGAAUGCUGAGACAUUUAUUUGUAUGCAUACAACUUUGGGAAAGUAUGAACAUCCAAUGUUGAAAAUGAACUAAAUGAUACUGAUUAUAAAGAAUUUUUGCAAUAUGCAAAUACAGCAGAUCACUCAAGGGAUGCUGAAACAUUAUUUGGUAUUCAAACAACUCUGGAAAAGUAUGAACAUCCAAUUUUGAAAAUGAACUAACGAAUACUGAUUAUAAAGAAUUUAUGCAAUGUACGUGUAAUGGUUAUUAGAUGCAAAUACAGCAGAUCACUCAAGGGAUGCUGAAACAUUAUUUGGUAUUCAAACAAUUCUGGAAAAGUAUGAACAUCCAAUUUUGAAAAUGAACUAACGAAUACUGAUUAUAAUGAAUUUAUGCAAUUUACAUAUUGCAAUACAGCAGACAAUGAAAGCCAUGGUGAGACAUGAAUUCGCGAUUCUAUCAGUUUGGAAAAUAUAAACAUCCUAUGAUGAAAAUGGACUAGAAGAUACUGAUAAUAAUAAUUGUUUUAUUCAACAUGCAAAUACAGCAGAUCACUCAAGGGAUGCUGAAACAUUAUUUGGUAUUCAAACAAUUCUGGAAAAGUAUGAACAUCCAAUUUUGAAAAUGAACUAACGAAUACUGAUUAUAAUGAAUUUAUGCAAUUUACAUAUUGCAAUACAGCAGACAAUGAAAGCCAUGGUGAGACAUGAAUUCGCGAUUCUUUCAGUUUGGAAAAUAUAAACAUCCUAUGAUGAAAAUGGACUAGAAGAUACUGAUAAUAAUAAUUGUUUUAUUCAACAUGCAAAUACAGCAGAUCACUCAAGGGAUGCUGAAACAUUGUUUGGUAUUCAAUCAACUCUGGAAAAGUAUGAACAUCCAAUUUUGAAAAUGAACUAAAAGAUACUGAUAAUAAAGAAUUUAUGCAAUAUGCAAAUACAGCAGAUCACUCAAGGGAUGCUGAAACAUUAUUUGGUAUUCAAACAAUUCUGGAAAAGUAUGAACAUCCAAUUUUGAAAAUGAACUAACGAAUACUGAUUAUAAUGAAUUUAUGCAAUUUACAUAUUGCAAUACAGCAGACAAUGAAAGCCAUGGUGAGACAUGAAUUCGCGAUUCUUUCAGUUUGGAAAAUAUAAACAUCCUAUGAUGAAAAUGGACUAGAAGAUACUGAUAAUAAUAAUUGUUUUAUUCAACAUGCAAAUACAGCAGAUCACUCAAGGGAUGCUGAAACAUUGUUUGGUAUUCAAUCAACUCUGGAAAAGUAUGAACAUCCAAUUUUGAAAAUGAACUAAAAGAUACUGAUAAUAAAGAAUUUAUGCAAUAUGCAAAUACAGCAGAUCACUCAAGGGAUGCUGAAACAUUAUUUGGUAUUCAAACAAUUCUGGAAAAGUAUGAACAUCCAAUUUUGAAAAUGAACUAACGAAUACUGAUUAUAAUGAAUUUAUGCAAUUUACAUAUUGCAUUACAGCAGACAAUGAAAGUCAUGGUGAGACAUGAAUUUGCGAUUCUAUCAGUUUGGAAAAUAUAAACAUCCUAUGAUGAAAAUGGACUAGAAGAUACUGAUAAUAAUAAUUGUUUUAUUCAACAUGGCAAUACAGCAGAUGACUCAAGGAAUGCUGAGACAUUUAUUUGUAUGCAUACAACUUUGGGAAAGUAUGAACAUCCAAUGUUGAAAAUGAACUAAAUGAUACUGAUUAUAAAGAAUUUUUGCAAUGUACGUGUAAUGGUUAUUAGGUAUAGUUGAUAGAAAAUUAAUAGCAAUGUAUCUAAAAGUUACUCAAAUGCUUCCCUGACCAUAAUAUUAAUUAAAUUAUUUAAUUUAUUAUUAUUAACUUGCAUACAUUUCAUUUAAGCAGAUACUUUAUAAACACUA